rnacentral:rRNA from 1 species
AUUGAACGCUGGCGGAAUGCUUUACACAUGCAAGUCGAACGGCAGCACGGACUUCGGUCUGGUGGCGAGUGGCGAACGGGUGAGUAAUAUAUCGGAACGUGCCCAGUCGUGGGGGAUAACGUAGUGAAAAUUACGCUAAUACCGCAUACGAUCUAUGGAUGAAAGCGGGGGAUCGCAAGACCUCGCGCGAUUGGAGCGGCCGAUAUCAGAUUAGGUAGUUGGUGAGGUAAAGGCUCACCAAGCCGACGAUCUAUAGCUGGUCUGAGAGGAUGAUCAGCCACACUGGGACUGAGACACGGCCCAGACUCCUACGGGAGGCAGCAGUGGGGAAUUUUGGACAAUGGGCGCAAGCCUGAUCCAGCCAUUCCGCGUGCAGGACGAAGGCCUUCGGGUUGUAAACUGCUUUUGUACAGAACGAAAAGCUCUGAGUUAAUACCUCGGGGUCAUGACGGUACUGUAAGAAUAAGCACCGGCUAACUACGUGACG